rnacentral:rRNA from 1 species
UUUACAAUGAAGAGUUUGAUCCUGGCUCAGGAUGAACGCUAGCUACAGGCUUAACACAUGCAAGUCGAGGGGCAGCAUUUUAGUUUGCUUGCAAACUGAAGAUGGCGACCGGCGCACGGGUGAGUAACACGUAUCCAACCUGCCGAUAACUCCGGAAUAGCCUUUCGAAAGAAAGAUUAAUACCGGAUAGUAUACGAAUAUCGCAUGAUAUUUUUAUUAAAGAAUUUCGGUUAUCGAUGGGGAUGCGUUCCAUUAGUUUGUUGGCGGGGUAACGGCCCACCAAGACUACGAUGGAUAGGGGUUCUGAGAGGAAGGUCCCCCACAUUGGAACUGAGACACGGUCCAAACUCCUACGGGAGGCAGCAGUGAGGAAUAUUGGUCAAUGGGCGAGAGCCUGAACCAGCCAAGUAGCGUGAAGGAUGAAGGCUCUAUGGGUCGUAAACUUCUUUUAUAUGGGAAUAAAGUUUUCCACGUGUGGAAUUUUGUAUGUACCAUAUGAAUAAGGAUCGGCUAACUCCGUGCCAGCAGCCGCGGUAAUACGGAGGAUCCGAGCGUUAUCCGGAUUUAUUGGGUUUAAAGGGAGCGUAGGUGGAUUGUUAAGUCAGUUGUGAAAGUUUGCGGCUCAACCGUAAAAUUGCAGUUGAAACUGGCAGUCUUGAGUACAGUAGAGGUGGGCGGAAUUCGUGGUGUAGCGGUGAAAUGCUUAGAUAUCACGAAGAACUCCGAUUGCGAAGGCAGCUCACUAGACUGUCACUGACACUGAUGCUCGAAAGUGUGGGUAUCAAACAGGAUUAGAUACCCUGGUAGUCCACACAGUAAACGAUGAAUACUCGCUGUUUGCGAUAUACAGUAAGCGGCCAAGCGAAAGCAUUAAGUAUUCCACCUGGGGAGUACGCCGGCAACGGUGAAACUCAAAGGAAUUGACGGGGGCCCGCACAAGCGGAGGAACAUGUGGUUUAAUUCGAUGAUACGCGAGGAACCUUACCCGGGCUUAAAUUGCAACAGAAUAUAUUGGAAACAGUAUAGCCGUAAGGCUGUUGUGAAGGUGCUGCAUGGUUGUCGUCAGCUCGUGCCGUGAGGUGUCGGCUUAAGUGCCAUAACGAGCGCAACCCUUAUCUUUAGUUACUAACAGGUUAUGCUGAGGACUCUAGAGAGACUGCCGUCGUAAGAUGUGAGGAAGGUGGGGAUGACGUCAAAUCAGCACGGCCCUUACGUCCGGGGCUACACACGUGUUACAAUGGGGGGUACAGAAGGCGGCUACCUGGUGACAGGAUGCUAAUCCCAAAAACCUCUCUCAGUUCGGAUCGAAGUCUGCAACCCGACUUCGUGAAGCUGGAUUCGCUAGUAAUCGCGCAUCAGCCAUGGCGCGGUGAAUACGUUCCCGGGCCUUGUACACACCGCCCGUCAAGCCAUGAAAGCCGGGGGUACCUGAAGUACGUAACCGCAAGGAGCGUCCUAGGGUAAAACUGGUAAUUGGGGCUAAGUCGUAACAAGGUAGCCGUACCGGAAGGUGCGGCUGGAACACCUCCUUUCUG